CCUACGGGCGGCAGCAGUGAGGAAUAUUGGUCAAUGGACGAGAGUCUGAACCAGCCAAGUAGCGUGAAGGAUGACUGCCCUAUGGGUUGUAAACUUCUUUUAUAUGGGAAUAAAAUGUUCCACGUGUGGGAUUUUGUAUGUACCAUAUGAAUAAGGAUCGGCUAACUCCGUGCCAGCAGCCGCGGUAAUACGGAGGAUCCGAGCGUUAUCCGGAUUUAUUGGGUUUAAAGGGAGCGUAGGUGGAGUGUUAAGUCAGUUGUGAAAGUUUGCGGCUCAACCGUAAAAUUGCAGUUGAAACUGGCAGUCUUGAGUACAGUAGAGGUGGGCGGAAUUCGUGGUGUAGCGGUGAAAUGCUUAGAUAUCACGAAGAACUCCGAUUGCGAAGGCAGUUCACUGGACUGCAACUGACACUGAGGCUCGAAAGUGUGGGUAUCAAACAGGAUUAGAUACCCCUGUAGUC
rnacentral:rRNA from 1 species